ACACAGACAUACAUGAACGGACAGACAUGCACUCAUAUACACAGGCACACAGAGACAGACAAACACACUUACUAUAAAAAAGAUACAGCUCAGCUACUGAAACCAGUUGGGAGGGAAAAGGAAGCGACAACUGCUUGGGAAUGCAGUGCCUCCCUGUUCUUUCUGCUCCAUGAGUCUUGGUAACUCACAGAGCAGACUAGGCAGGGAGAGCAAUACAAAACUAGAGAUUAUGGGCUUCAGGCUACUGGUGGGGGAGAGAUUUGGGGUUUAGGAGCCCCACAUCCUCUGCUUGCGAUGCAUGGAAGGACAUACCUUCUGAUGGUAUCACCUGGUGCAGUCCAGACCUUCCUAAAAAACUCUGCCUUGACCCCUUAAAGCUAAAGUCAAACCUCCUACAAAGCUCACUUCUGAGUUCACCAUCUUCAGAUAAAACCAUGGCAAUGAUCAGCAAAGGUAUUUAGAAAGGUGACCAAUUAAGCAAAGCCGACACAAACAAUACAAUGAUUCUACAUUUGACCAUUUUUG